GAGCGCAUGCGUGUCGCGGGGCAUGCCGGGAGCGCGCAGUGGCGGCAGCGGCGGCGACGGCACUCACAGCGGCGGCAACAGCGGGGACGCGAGCGGGGCGGUGACCGUGUGGGAGGUGGUCUCACUCUUGGGGAAGCUGCUGGGCACCGUCGCCGCGCUGAAGGUGGUCCUGUACCUGCUCCGGGUGUGCCUAGCGAUGGCCUGGAAAUCCGGCGGCGCCAGCCACUCGGAGCUAAUCCACAACCUUCGCAAAAAUGGAAUCAUCAAGACAGAUAAAGUAUUUGAAGUAAUGCUGGCUACGGACCGUGCCCACUAUGCAAAAUGUAACCCUUAUAUGGAUUCUCCACAAUCAAUAGGUUUCCAAGCAACAAUCAGUGCUCCACACAUGCAUGCAUAUGCACUAGAACUUUUAUUUGAUCAACUGCAUGAAGGAGCUAAAGCUCUUGAUGUAGGAUCUGGAAGUGGAAUCCUUUCUGCAUGUUUUGCACGUAUGGUUGGAGCUAGUGGAAAAGUCGUAGGAAUUGACCACAUUAAAGAGUUAGUAGACGACUCAAUAAAUAAUGUCAGAAAGGACGAUCCAACACUUUUGUCUUCAGGGAGAGUGCAACUGGUUGUGGGGGAUGGAAGAAUGGGAUAUGCUGAAGAAGCCCCUUAUGAUGCUAUUCACGUAGGCGCUGCAGCCCCCGUUGUGCCCCAGGCACUAAUAGACCAGUUAAAGCCUGGUGGAAGAUUGAUAUUGCCGGUCGGUCCUGCGGGUGGAAAUCAGAUGUUGGAGCAGUACGACAAGCUGCAAGAUGGCAGUGUCAAAAUGAAACCUCUGAUGGGAGUGAUAUACGUGCCUUUAACAGAUAAAGAAAAGCAGUGGUCCAGGAUUUCCAGUACUAUGUUGAAUAAAAGUGGCAAGAGUGGGCAUCCUUGUCUUGUUCCUGAUCUUACAGGAAAAGCUUUCAGCUUUUCACCGUUGAGUAUGAUGUUAGCUGUGGGCUUGUCAUAUGUGGCCUUUAUUAUGUUGAGAUUGCAUUUUUGUUCCUUCCUUCCUCUCACUGGCAGUUGCUGGUACAGUGCUACACCUGGCUGAGCGAAUGCUUUCUUUUGGAGCUGAUAAAGCUGCCUUAUGAAAUCAGCUGACAGGGACGAACUGUAAAAGCAACAUCAGCUUGACCAGUAUAUAAUAUUAGAGUGGAUUGCUCAUCUCAGUCCUCAAAGCUUUUGAAAACCACAGUAUCACAGCUUGUUUUGGACUUUGUUACACUCUUUUUUUCAGCAUGAAAAUGUGUGGUUUUGUAGGGUUUCUAAUUCUUCAAAGAGGCACAAAAGCCAAAUUGGUAGCGAAAGGAUGCAAAGUAUACAUUUUACUUUUAAAAUAUUAAGCGAAGGCAUUCUGCAAAAUGGGAAAGUUAGUUUUUUAAUUGAUUUGGAAGAGUGGUUUUUCUUUUCUUAGACACUUAAUUCUGUUCCAAUAUUUUUCAGAUUGAGUUUGUGUAUCAGAUAACACCACCAUUCAUAAGUUAAAAUUCUUUAUUUUAUUUUAUUUUUUUGAUGUCUGUGAGAUGCUACUAAAAAAAUAGAGAUGAGCUUCCUUUUUAAAGCUUUUGAUGUGGUGUCAUAGAAUAGCAUGUUGUAGAUACAAUCAGCUGCUUUGGUACCUUAAAACUAAGCAAUUGUAAAUAUUAAAAUUUAAGAAGGUGGAAGGUGAUAUUCCUUAACACUCAGAUUGGACAUAACUGAUAUAGUUCAUUUCCCUUUAAAAUUAUAUUAGACUUGUAGCUUAGUAUUAUUUCUUCUGUUUCUAACUUGCUGCUGAUAAUGUAUAUGAAUUUAACGUGCUGUGUAAGCUGUGUCUUAGUUACUGAGCAGUUUAUGCAGUGCUGCUUUGCCAAAUAAAGUUAAAAGUAAAGAGGCA